GGGGUUUCAUCCUACCUGGAUCAAUUGGAUGAUGCAGUGUGAUAUACCAUGGAUUUUACCCAUUAUUAGCCAUGGUAUAUAUGUGUUUUAAGAUAUUUACUACGAUGUAGAGUCUACUUAGAGUGUUUACAGGUUCAUGGACGAUUUGGAGGAAAGUGGUGAUUUUGGUGUCUUUUGGAGCCUUUUGAGGUGCAGAGCUGCACAUAUAUGUCUGAUGUUUAGAUAUGUAUGGAAACCUCCCCUCGGUGCAAUUGAGCUCAUCUUUUGACACUCGAUAGAGCUUUGAGUUAGCUUUCUAAUGCCACCAGUUUGAGGUCAAUCCAACGGUUAAAUCAGACGUUAU
rnacentral:lncRNA from 1 species